AGAUAAUAGAUACCCAGGUAGUCCACGCCCUAAACGAUGUCAACUGGCUUUACGGAGUAUCGACCCUCUGUGAGGCGAAAGCUAACGCGUUAAGUUGACCGCCUGGGUAGUACGACCGCAAGGUUAAAACUCAAAGGAAUAGACGGGGGCUUGCACAAGCGGUGGAGCGUGUGGCUUAAAUUCGUCGCUAAGCGAAGAACCUUACCAGGGCUAGAAAUCCUACUGCACGUCUAGCGAAAGCUAGAAAGCCUUCGAGGGUGUAGGACAGGUGAUGCAUGGCUGUCGUCAGUUCGUGGUUUGAAUCGUUCCCUUCAGUGGGGUAACGAACGCAACCCUCGUUGCCAGUUACAAGUGUCUGGCGAGACUGCCCCCUCACGGGGGGUAGGAAGGUGAGGAUGACGCCAAGUCAGCAUGUCCCUCUGAUGUCCUGGGCUGCACACGCGCUACAAUCGCCUUUACAAAGGGACGCAAUGCGGUAACGCGGAGCAAAU
rnacentral:rRNA from 1 species